AGGCCACUUCAGGUUCUCAUGGUUCAGUUGUGUAUCUACCAUCACACAACACUAGGCUGUAACUUCAAAACCAAAUGAAAUCUAUCAACCGAACCGCUCAAGGAUGGAUCUAUACUGACUUCAAACUUGGAACCUACAGGCCAGCAGAGGUGUUUCCUGCCAGGCUGACAGAAGACAACAGAGGACUCCUCACUCCUCCUCAAGUACAGACAACUCAGCGGCCAGCAGCAUCAGGAAAAUCUAAGCAUCCCCAGGAAGAUGCGUCAUGAUGACCACUGUGACCCAGAUGGGACAUGAUCUGGAGUUUCUGUAUAAAUGUUAUGGCUUUGCUACUUCGUGCAUUAUAAAUACCCAAUUUAAAUUCCCAUUUUAUUGUCCAUGAAUAAAGUGCUUUAUUUUUUA